CCUUCAACGCUAUCAUGAUAUGUUAUUACUUGUUUCAUAUUAAUGGCAGAAGCAUGAUUGAUGAGUUUUUAAAUUUUUUUCUGAUUUUUUUGUAUCUUUCGAUUUUUUUUUCAAAAUUUUAAGAAAUCAUAAAAAAUAUUAUAAUUUAUGAUAAAAUUUGCAAUUUGAUAUGAUUUAACCCUUGCUAUGAUUUGCAAUGCAAUAAUGAUUUUGACGACAUCGGGGGCCAAGAUGAUUACAUAAAAAAUCUUAUAAUUUGUGAUAAUUUGCAAUUCGAUAUGAUUCAACCCCUGCUACGAUUUGCAAUGUGAUAAUGAUUUUGACGACAUUGGGGGCUAAGAUGAUUACAUAAAAAAUCUUAUAUUUUAUGAUAAAAUUUGCAAUUUGAUAUGAUUCAACCCUUGCUACGGUUUGCAAUGUGAUAAUGAUUUUGACAACAUUGGUUGCGUUGUCUGUGGAUUGGGGGCCAAGAUGAUUACAUAAAUAUGAAAGGGAAGUUUUAGCACAUUAUAAACUCCAUCCUUUUCAACUCUCCCCAGCAAUCCGUUUUCUUAUCAGUAGGGAUACUUUGCAUAACACGAUAAUGAUGAAUGAGUUGAUGCCCUUGUGCUAGAUACGGUCACUUUGUAGUGAGGCUCAUCCAUGUGCCCAUAUCCAAAAUCCAAUGGUCAAGCAUCUUGGUAAGAUCUACACCAUUGUUCUGUGUAGGUUGGUGUGGAAUGGAUGAAUGGGUUGGAAAACAGAUAGGUGUGGAGGCUUGGAGAAGAUGUUGUUGCCGAUGAGUCAAAACACUAUCCCUCUCACAUCUAUAUAUUGUCAUGGUACCGAUCCACAUACAACAUGGUAAGUCUGUUUCAUCACAAGGGGAGAAAGAUCUUUGGACGACAUGGGGUGGCAACUAAUUGGUGGUUAUCACAUUACAUAGUUUUCCUAUUGGACUGAAAAUGGAUGUGUGGACACUUGUUGAGGAUAGAGUUUGCGAUAGAUUGGAACUUUAGACCUUUCACAUCUAUAUAGAAUCAAUAUUCUUGGUUCACAAUCUACACACAUCUGUUCCUCUCUCUUGGUUGUCAUUCGUAUGUGAAGGAGAGGAAGAUCUGAGUGUCUGUUGGAAAUAGAAAAAAAGGUAGAUCGAUUUUCAAGCUUCGAAUAAUGAUAAUGACCACCAAUAUGGGUAUGCGUUUAGUUUUCCGAAUCCAUGCUUUGAUGCACUACAUCCUAGGAUCACGGUGUUGCCAUAUAAACACAGUUUUUCAUUAUCUGGGUGCGCUUAAAGUGGUUUCAUUUGGUUGGUUAGGUACUAACUAGAAAAUGUUACUGCCAUGGUGUGCCAUAACGGCCCUUACGUAAAGUUAACUUUGUAACUGUUACAGGUUAGGGUUUGUAAUGGCCGUAGUGGCUUUUAUGGAGAAAAAAAAUGACCUGUAAUGGCCAUUACAGCCCCCGUAAUGGCCUUGUUACACCCCCGUAAAGGCUGUAAUGGCCUAUUACGUGGCUGAUACAGAUUUUUCAGGGUUUUUUCAAUAAAAUGAAACAGAGCCUGUAACAGCCACUACAUUCCAUAUCGUGAAGGUAACGGUGGUGGCUAUUACGGCCACUGCUACUAUUAUGGAAUACCUUGGCUACUAUUGAUCACAACUGCUUGCAUUUUGUCUUAAUGGUGCAAGGACCGUGGACUAGUUCAGCCACUGUGUAUUUGUUGCUGAAAUUAGGAGUAUUUUGGCUGUGGUCACAUUUGUUUGGUUAGUUGCUAACUAUAAGUUAACUAUUGAUCAUUUGUAUAGUAGGGUGAUGAUGGUCACGAAAUUUGCUCCGUGUUGUAAAGAUGAAGAAACUGUGGACAACUUGUUUGUCUGUUGUGAAUUUGUGGCAAAAUCUGGUGGAAUAUUGUGGCUAUGUUUCAUUUGCAACGGUCCAUUCCGAGAUCGUUUAAAGCUCCAGUGCAAGCCUGGAACUGGGGAGACAGGGUAGGAGAAUGAUAGCUGUAGCAUCUCUGCUUGCUCAUAGUUAUAUGGACUGCAUGGAAGGAACGUGACAAUAGGAGAGUAAUUAAGAAUUGUAAAUGGGAAGUCUGGUUAGACAUUCUUCGGUGGACCUGUGACCUCAGAAGCUUGAGACUAGGGAUCUUCUCUUAGUUGAGAGUUGUCUUCUUUGAUGUUUUGAGGGGGAUGCAGAUGAGAUUGCAUGAUUCUCUCGUGAAAGAGGGAGUGAUGAGAGGGUCACUAUCAGCAUCUCAUUCUUGCUUCGCAAGCAUUUUAUCAUUAGUAAUCUUCCCAAAAAGAUUGAAAAGAAAAAGGAAAAAAAAAGGAAUGAUGAGAGAGUCACUAUCGGCAUCUCAUUCCCCCGUUGUUAACAUUACUGGUAUAAAAGUAAAAUAAAUCCCAAUAAAAAACAAGGAUCUAAUAUUCUUGAAAGCUAAGGGCUUUUUUGGCAUCUCACUCUUGCUUUGUUAACCUCACUCAUUUGGAUGGGACUUACCAGUCCCAUGGGAGUUGCAAUCAUGGGAGUGGUCAAAUCUGGAUUGGUGACUCUUGCAUUGCCCAAUCUUUUGUUUGGUUGACAUGCUGGAUUUGCCAAUCUAGUAUUGAUCACUACAAGGAUCCGAAUGGGAGAGGGAAGACCGAGAUGGCAAGUGUGCAGAUUUUCUCUAUCUGGACAUGUUACCUUUUUGGAGGGGAGUUUUCAAUCUGUAUUUAAGUGGAUUUAGUGGCACAUGGAUCCCUUUUGAAGGGGAGUUUUCAAUCUGUACUUAAAGUGGAUUUAGUGGCACAUGGGCAAUUCAUGAGCUUUGUCAAUCCCCGGAGGGAUCAAAUUGGGAACAAAUGUCCUGGUUAGCCACCAAAUCCAGGAUAGACCAUGCUAGGAUUCUAAUGGGCCUUUGAUCAUGCUAUUUACAGGAUUUUAGUUUGCUGACCACAAAUCAUAUACUUUGAGAACACCUUGAAAGGGACUUAUUUUCUCCUUUUGGGAGACUUUUGACACUUUUAGAAUGCUACUGCUGCUCUCUACGAAACAAAAGAAUCUCUGAAUCCCCUUUUCUAAGCCCAGUUUAACAUCAUGAACAAAAAUAUUUGGAAAUGUAACUACACAUGCCUGAUCAAAUUUCCUUUUUUUGCACCUAUUUUUUUCUCUAUAUUAUUGUGAUCCAUGCUUUUUUUGUAGGAGAAAUUCAUGCUUUAAUAAAGCACUUUGAUUGUGAUUAUGUAAUGUUAUGCCUAUGCCAAUUGAAUGGUUUUUUUU